rnacentral:rRNA from 1 species
AAGACCUUGCACUUUUGGAGCGGCCGAUGUCUGAUUAGCUAGUCGGUGGGGUAAUGGCCUACCAAAGCUUCGAUCAGUAGCUGGUCUGAGAGGACGGCCAGCCACACUGGGACUGAGACACGGCCCAGACUCCUACGGGAGGCAGCAGUGGGGAAUUUUGGACAAUGGGCGCAAGCCUGAUCCAGCCAUGCCGCGUGAGUGAAGAAGGCCUUCGGGUUGUAAAGCUCUUUCAGCCGGGAAGAAAAGGUUGCGAUUAAUAAUCGCAAUUUAUGACGGUACCGGAAGAAGAAGCACCGGCUAACUACGUGCCAGCAGCCGCGGUAAUACGUAGGGUGCGAGCGUUAAUCGGAAUUACUGGGCGUAAAGGGUGCGCAGGCGGUUUUGUAAGUCAGAUGUGAAAUCCCCGGGCUUAACCUGGGAACU